rnacentral:rRNA from 1 species
UACGUAGGGUGCAAGCGUUAAUCGGAAUUACUGGGCGUAAAGCGUGCGCAGGCGGUUUCGUAAGUCUGUCGUGAAAGCCCCGGGCUCAACCUUUGAAUGCCGAUGGAUACUGCGGAGCUAGAGUACGGAAGAGGCGAGUGGAAUUCCUGGUGUAGCGGUGGAAUGCGCAGAUAUCAGGAGGAACACCAAUAGCGAAGGCAGCUCGCUGGGACGUUACUGACACUAAGGCGCGAAAGCGUGGGGAGCGAACAGG